GAUGAACGCUGGCGGCGUGCCUAAUACAUGCAAGUCGAGCGAACAGACGAGGAGCUUGCUCCUCUGACGUUAGCGGCGGACGGGUGAGUAACACGUGGAUAACCUACCUAUAAGACUGGGAUAACUUCGGGAAACCGGAGCUAAUACCGGAUAAUAUAUUGAACCGCAUGGUUCAAUAGUGAAAGACGGUUUUGCUGUCACUUAUAGAUGGAUCCGCGCCGCAUUAGCUAGUUGGUAAGGUAACGGCUUGCCAAGGCAACGAUGCGUAGCCGACCUGAGAGGGUGAUCGGCCACACUGGAACUGAGACACGGUCCAGACUCCUACGGGAGGCAGCAGUAGGGAAUCUUCCGCAAAGGGCGAAAGCCUGACGGAGCAACGCCGCGUGAGUGAUGAAGGUCUUCGGAUCGUAAAACUCUAUUAUUAGGGAAGAACAAAUGUGUAAGUAACUAUGCACGUCUUGACGGUACCUAAUCAGAAAGCCACGGCUAACUACGUG
rnacentral:rRNA from 1 species